rnacentral:rRNA from 1 species
AGAGUUUGAUCCUGGCUCAGAACGAACGCUGGCGGCGUGCCUAACACAUGCAAGUCGAACGGAGAUAAGGGGCUUGCUCCUUAUUUUAGUGGCGCACGGGUGAGUAACGCGUGGAUAAUCUACCUUGGAAUCUGGGAUAACAUCUCGAAAGGGGUGCUAAUACCGGAUAAGACCACGAGCUCUUCGGAGUUUGCGGUAAAAGGGGGCCUCUGUAUAUGCUUCUGUUUCAAGAUGAGUCCGCGUACCAUUAGCUAGUUGGCAGGGUAAUGGCCUACCAAGGCGACGAUGGUUAGCUGGUCUGAGAGGAUGAUCAGCCACACUGGAACUGAGACACGGUCCAGACUCCUACGGGAGGCAGCAGUGGGGAAUUUUGCGCAAUGGGGGAAACCCUGACGCAGCAACGCCGCGUGAGUGAUGAAGGCCUUCGGGUCGUAAAGCUCUGUCAGAGGGAAAGAAGUGUGGGAGGGUUAAUACCCCUUUCACUUGACGGUACCCUCAAAGGAAGCA